rnacentral:lncRNA from 1 species
UAAUACUUCCAUUAAGUAAUCAAAAUAUUCACUGAAUGCAACUUAUGGAAAAAGCAUAUAAAUUUCUAGCAAGCAACUAAUUGAUAUAAUUUCAUUUUUCCUUUCCUUCAUAUAUCAAGUUAGGUCUUACUCUGUAAACAUCAUGUGGGGAAUGGAGCUCAGAAGAGAGGCCAAGCUUGAGGCAGAUUUAAUGGUCUUUUCCCUUGUAGGUGACAAUUAUUGCAAGGAGAGUGGAUCAUCUCUUGUGCUAAAAGUCCUGAGAAAAAAAUAAGAGAAGAACUGAUAAGGGACAGGAAGAUGCCAACAGUAAUGCUGCAUAGCAAAUUAUCCCCAGACCCAGCAGCUUAUUGUAUUGAUUCUCACGCUCUUGGGUCUUCAAGUUGACUGGAGGUUGGCUUGUAUGGGCUGUUCUGCGACCCGGGGUGAAGGAAACUAAAAUCUUACUAGUGUAAGUCAGGGUGAAGUCACACCUAAAGCCCUGUUCUAGGUUACAGCAUCACAAAGUUUGGUCUACAAAGUGACUUGUUAGUUUCAGAAAAAAAAGAAGAAAGAAAGAAAAAUCAAGAAAACAAUGUUAUUACAUAUUUUUCACAGAUCUGAAACAUAAGAAUGACUAUGUGUCACACGGUCACGCAGCAGGGGGCCUGGAAAUGAGAUGAAGGAAUGGCACAGUAUGAAGUUUCAAUUUUGGAGAAGCACCCCUCCUGCGGUAGCGACCAAGCAAACAAGAAAAGCCUCAGAAGGCACAACAGCCUGGCUGUGCACCCCAAUCCUCCUGAGAGUGGAGGAAUUCGAGAAGGCUCCACUGAGUGAUUUACUUCUGCAUCUGCUGAGGCAACUGGGGCUGGUGGAUCUACUUCCAAAAU